CAGGGACCGCCCCAGUCCCAGCCCCGGCUGCGCGCGGUCGGCACACGCGUCCUGCUGCUCGGCGCGCACGCGCAAUCCUCACCAACGAGCCCGCAGCGCCCCCUAUCGGCCCGAGGCCUCCAGCCGGCCAACAAGCAGACUUAAUCACCAGCCUCAAGUGUUUCUAACUGUCCACCCUCCAGUUUCUAGCACCAGAUACCACCUAGAAAGGAGCGAGGGGCCGGCCUGAGCUCCCGCAAUGUGCCAGGUGGAGUUUGAGCUGGCCUGUGCUGCUAUCAAGCAGUUAAAGGGACCUGUGAGCGAUCAGGAGAAACUGUUGGUGUACAGCUUCUACAAACAGGCUACCCAGGGCGACUGCAACAUCCCGGCCCCGCCCGCCACAGACGUGAAAGCCAAGGCCAAGUGGGACGCGUGGAACGACAAGAAAGGGAUAUCCAAGAUGGACGCCAUGAGGAUCUAUGUUGCCAAAGUGGAAGAACUGAAGAAAAAUGAUACUGGUUAAGGAAGGUAGCGUGUCAAUCAGAAUGAGGUAGCGCGGGGAGAAGGGCUUUUUAAAAGACCUGAAUGGCGCAAGUGUCCUGAAACGUAACCACCAUAGCUGGGGCAUCAAUAAAUCACUUACACCACAUACA